rnacentral:rRNA from 1 species
UGGGGAAUAUUGGACAAUGGGGGCAACCCUGAUCCAGCCAUGCCGCGUGUGUGAAGAAGGCCUUCGGGUUGUAAAGCACUUUUGUUGGGGAAGAAAAGCACUGGGCUAAUACCUUGGUGUCAUGACGGUACCCAAAGAAUAAGCACCGGCUAACUUCGUGCCAGCAGCCGCGGUAAUACGAAGGGUGCAAGCGUUACUCGGAAUUACUGGGCGUAAAGCGUGCGUAGGCGGUUUGUUAAGUCUGUCGUGAAAGCCCCGGGCUCAACCUGGGAAUGGCGAUGGAAACUGGCGAGCUAGAGUACGGUAGAGGAGAGUGGAAUUCCCGGUGUAGCAGUGAAAUGCGUAGAGAUCGGGAGGAACAUCAGUUGCGAAGGCGGCUCUCUGGACCAGUACUGACGCUGAGGCACGAAAGCGUGGGGAGCAAACAGG